AGAAUCAACGCUGGCGGCGUGCCUAACACAUGCAAGUCGCACGAGAAAGUGGAGCAAUCCAUGAGUAAAGUGGCGCACGGGUGAGUAACACGUGAAUGAUCUACCUCCGAGUGGGGAAUAACUGAGAGAAAUCUUAGCUAAUACCGCAUAAUACCCACGGGUCAAAGCAGCAAUGCGCUUGGAGAGGAGUUCGCGGCCGAUUAGCUAGUUGGCGGGGUAAUGGCCCACCAAGGCGAUGAUCGGUAUCCGGCCUGAGAGGGCGCACGGACACACUGGAACUGAAACACGGUCCAGACUCCUACGGGAGGCAGCAGUGGGGAAUUUUGCGCAAUGGGGGAAACCCUGACGCAGCAACGCCGCGUGGAGGAUGAAAUCCCUUGGGAUGUAAACUCCUUUCGAUAGGGAAGAUAAUGACGGUACCUAUAGAAGAAGCCCCGGCUAACUUCGUGCCAGCAGCCGC
rnacentral:rRNA from 1 species